rnacentral:ncRNA from 1 species
GAAAAUUCAAUGACGAGAACAGUAGGAUAAUAUUUUUGUUCCAAAGAGAGCCGGGAUGGGUGGGAGCCGGUGAACAAACAUUAUCUGAAAAUCAUCUCUGAGAAGCAAAGCUGAACGAUAAAGUAAGCUUUGUCGGUAGUUUCCGUUAAAAUGUCGGUUGACUAAGAGCCGGAGCCUGUUUUCGCUCUGGAACUAGGGUGGUAACGCGAGCCAAACUCGUCCCUAAA